rnacentral:rRNA from 1 species
AUUGAACGCUAGCGGCAUGCCUUACACAUGCAAGUCGAACGGCAGCGGACCUUCGGGUGCCGGCGAGUGGCGAACGGGUGAGUAAUGUAUCGGAACGUACCUUUCAGUGGGGGAUAACGUAGCGAAAGUUACGCUAAUACCGCAUAUUCUGUGAGCAGGAAAGCAGGGGAUCGCAAGACCUUGCGCUGAUUGAGCGGCCGAUAUCAGAUUAGCUAGUUGGUGAGGUAAGGCUCACCAAGGCGACGAUCUGUAGCGGGUCUGAGAGGAUGAUCCGCCACACUGGAACUGAGACACGGUCCAGACUCCUACGGGAGGCAGCAGUGGGGAAUUUUGGACAAUGGGCGCAAGCCUGAUCCAGCCAUGCCGCGUGCGGGAAGAAGGCCUUCGGGUUGUAAACCGCUUUUGUCAGGGAAGAAAUCUUCUGGGUUAAUACCUCGGGAGGAUGACGGUACCUGAAGAAUAAGCACCGGCUAACUACGUGCCAGCCGCCGCCGUAAGAC